CGCGACGGUGACAUUGCGGUGUGCGGCCUCUCGGACGAGAAGACUGGGCUUACGUUGGAUGCAAGUUAUUGUCGUCCGGCAAGGUUUUAAAAAGUGAUGUUAUAGCUACUGGACAUUGAAGCGAUUGAAGACCAGAAAGCCUUAGUGCGACCGGCUUGAUUCAGGUGGCCUAUAUGUAUACCAUUGGGAGAGUUAAAGAAGUUUAGUCCUCUAAAAGAAGUCCUCCGGAAAGUUUACUGCAACAAAGAUUACUCCCCGAGAGCGACACUCGUUAAGGAUGCGAGUAUUUGAAGUUCCGCUUUCAAGCAUUGGACGGCCUGCAAAUUACCAUUGGAGCCAAACUGUAUACAUUUUCUAGAUGAUCUUAAAUACGGAGCGGUAUUCUAAAGAUGUAGUUGUGCAGUGUGUAGUUCGUAGAUUACGAAACAACGGAGCGAGAAUACAGUUGGCGUUCCGUUUUGGGUCAGUUAUUUUGUUUUCCUUUUUCCAUGUUUUAAAGUCGCUGUGCUUUAUGCUCAGGAUCGAAGCAAAAUGUACAGGAGUAGGCUGCGAUGUGAUGCGUGUUGUAUAAAACCAAUAAACCAAAAAUGGCA